AUACCUUUCUCGGCCUUUUGGCUAAGAUCAAGUGUAGUAUCUGUUCUUAUCAGUUUAAUAUCUGAUAUGUGGGUCAUGUGUUCACAACGAUAUUAAAUUUAUUUUUUAUGGGGGGAGGAUUCAUCACAAUGGCUUGCCAUUGGGGUCCUCAUGUGUCGCUUGGGCUUUGCACUACAGCCCACAGUCAGGCGCACCCCAA
rnacentral:snRNA from 1 species